rnacentral:rRNA from 1 species
UAAUACGGAGGGGUGGCAAGCGUUUAAUCGGGAAUUGCUGGGAGUAAAGCGCACGCAGGCGGUUUGUUAAGUCAGAUGUGAAAUCCCCGGGCUCAGCGUGGGAACUGCAUCUGAUACUGGCAAGCUUGAGUCUCGUAGAGAGGGGGUAGAAUUCCAGGUGUAGCGGUGAAAUGCGUAGAGAUCUGGAGGAAUACCGGUGGCGAAGGCGGCCCCCUGGACGAAGACUGACGCUCAGGUGCGAAAGCGUGGGGAGCAAACAGGAUUAGAUACCGUGGUAGUCCACGCCGUAAACGAUGUCGACUUGGAGGUUGUGCCCUUGAGGCGUGGCUUCCGGAGCUAACGCGUUAAGUCGACCGCCUGGGGAGUACGGCCGCAAGGUUAAAACUCAAAUGAAUUGACGGGGGCCCGCACAAGCGGUGGAGCAUGUGGUUUAAUUCGAUGCAACGCGAAGAACCUUACCUGGUCUUGACAUCCACGGAAGUUUUCAGAGAUGAGAAUGUGCCUUCGGGAACCGUGAGACAGGUGCUGCAUGGCUGUCGUCAGCUCGUGUUGUGAAAUGUUGGGUUAAGUCCCGCAACGAGCGCAACCCUUAUCCUUUGUUGCCAGCGGUCCGGCCGGGAACUCAAAGGAGACUGCCAGUGAUAAACUGGAGGAAGGUGGGGAUGACGUCAAGUCAUCAUGGCCCUUACGACCAGGGCUACACACGUGCUACAAUGGCGCAUACAAAGAGAAGCGACCUCGCGAGAGCAAGCGGACCUCAUAAAGUGCGUCGUAGUCCGGAUUGGAGUCUGCAACUCGACUCCAUGAAGUCGGAAUCGCUAGUAAUCGUGGAUCAGAAUGCCACGGUGAAUACGUUCCCGGGCCUUGUACACACCGCCCGUCACACCAUGGGAGUGGGUUGCAAAAGAAGUAGGUAGCUUAACCUUCGGGAGGG